CCCCGUCACAGAGCGGUGCCGGCGGGCAGCAGCCGGGGCCCGUCACAGAGCGGUGCCGGCGGGCGGAGCGCGGGCAGCGCCCGGAGCCCGGAGCUGGCGGGCGGGCGCGGGGCACGGUCCGGCCGGGGCUCCACCGCGCUGACAGCGGCCGGCGGCGUCGGGGGCCCUGCAGCGGUGGGGAGCGGGAGGCGCACAGUUAGUCAGGGGCACCGACGGGGAACAGCGUGGAGAAGUACAGCAAAGAAAGCAAAGAUAGUUCAUGCAGAAACAGGCCAAUUACAGACAGUAGCAGUUGAAAGCAGAUCUUGUUAGCAGCCCGGAGACACCCUUGCAGGCACAACAGCCAAGUCACAGCCCUCAGCAAUAAAUAUCAGGAUUUGCCCUGGGUACAGGCAAUACUGUUUCCAGUGAACACAGCAAAACCAGAAGGCAACUACUUUCACUAGCAAUGCCUCAAAGAAAUUUAACACAGACACAGUAGAAGCAAUGCACUCUCAAUUAAAAUGCAUCAGUUGCAAAGAAGAUUGUUUUCUUUAGGACACACUGUUUUGGGUUACAUGCAGGUGUAUUUCACAUUCACUUCCCAUUCUUCUAUACAAACACUACAUCCUGCAGCAGCUGGCAUGUAAGCCGAGUUUCCUGGACAAUGUUAAGACAGACAGGCUCAAGUUCUCAAUCCUAAAAACAGGCAUAACAAACCCAAAACUGAAUGGCUAUUGAGCCCUCUCUGCUUCAGAACCAAAGCAGCAGGAUUUCAGUAAGCAGCAGCAGCCUUGCAAACACGAGUAGGAACAGUAGCACAAAUCAGGUACCCAAGAAGAGCUGGUCUGAAGCCAAGUCAAACAUUUCCACCAAAGGAAAUACAGGUGAGUAGCGCUCAUCUUGCAAUUAGGCCAAAAGAAUAAAAAUAAAACCAUAUUGAGAAUGCUGAAGAAUAAAGAUGCCACCACCUUUCACCCACCACCAUGGAAGGAAUCGAGCGAUCAACAGGAUCCCACCAUAGACAAGCACAGAUUUCAGAUACUAGAUAAAUCAAGGGCAAAAGAAAGAAAAACAGCAUUUAUCAUCAUAUGUUCUGAUUGAAAUGUCAAUAAAAUGCAACUCAAAGCAGAAUUACCAUCCCCU